AUACAGUACGGCAAAUGCACAAGGGAACGGUCGUGUCAAACAGAAUGUUUGAGAUGAAGUACUUGUAUUUCCUACUGCUGCUAACCCCGUUUUUGCUGAGGGGCAUAGCUGCAAGCUCGGAGAGAGAAUGUUAUACCUACAUAGACACAUUCAGAACAAAAUGAUUUGCUGGCAGAGGUCAU